rnacentral:rRNA from 1 species
AUGUUCUCUAUUUGUUGGGUCCUCCGUGUCAUUAUCAACAAGGAACAUGUAUAUCCUUUCAAGUUCACUGAUGUGGUUACCACUACAACACACGUCCCUCCAAGGACCAAGGGUGGGCAUGAUCUUCUACAAGCAGGAUGGGCGAACGGAGACGGUGCACUUCGACAAGAUCACGGUGCAGCUCAAGAAACUCAGCUAUGGGCACUUCGACAAGAGCACUGCGACCCCGUGCUCAUCGCGCAGAAGGUCUGCGUUAGGGUAUACAUGGGUGUCACCACCAGCCAGCUCAACGAGCUCGCCGCCGAGACCGCUGCCACGCUCACCGCCUCCCAGCCUGACUAUGCCUCCCUCGCGACGAGGAUUGUUGUGUCCAACCUACCGCCAAGUAGAAAUAGUCUGUGUGGCGCUCGUAAAUAA